UGGGAGAUAAAAUGUAGAUCAUCUACCGGAUAAAUAUUUGUACAGAGAAUACUUAAGAGGACUCUCAAGACUUGUAAAUAAGAUUUUAAAAAACUGAUCAAUUAAGUAAUCAGAUGAGAAUAGACCACCAAAAUGUAGGCAGUUCCUACAUGGGAUGUCCCAGGCUGGGGUCAGUGGGGGGUCCUGACUGGAGGGGCUGGAUAGUGAAGGAAGUCUACACUUAGUAUAUACAAAGAGGAGUAGUAUAAGUUUUGCUUCAGGGGUGAGUGUGUGUGUGCGUGUGCGCACACACAUGUGUGCAAAACUCUUGAGGAAUGGAAAACCUAUGAGAAUUUGGGGGAGCAUCUACUUAAUAGGUUUAUCAGACAAGUUCCUAUCAUUCCAGUGGAACUCUAGGCAACACUGGUCUCUUUCAGCAAUGUUUACACAGUCAAUUCCAGUGAUUUCUGGAAGCAUCCCAAAUCAUAUAGUCCAAUUUUACUAGACUUAUAGAUGAAAGAAUAAAGUCUCAAGAAGGUGAAAUUAUUUGUAUUUGCUGAUUUGUUAUUUUUUUGCGCUGACUGGUCUGUUAGCCAGACACUUGCUGGAGUAGAUCUUUCUGCAUGUGCUCUGUAUAUCCAAAGUAAUUUUCAGCAGCGCCAGUAGCCCAAGAGUAACUUCCUUAAAGACAGCUUAGUUCUCUCCUCUGUGUCACCUUUGGCUUUACACAGGACCUAAGGGAAUCUCUGCUCAGACAUUAGUCAUCCUGUUACUAGGUAAGGCCUUUGUUACCAGCAUGGCCGCUGGUAUACACACAGCGCGGGCCCGAUGACUCAAAAUGUUGUGUCCCUUAAAACCAUGCACUACUUCCUUCUAUAAAGGAGGAAAUUUUGAUGGUAACUUGAUACCUUGGCAAUCAGAAAGAAAAAAAAGAGCCCAGUGCUACUCAUAAAUGCUGCAAAGAUAUCGAAAGGUUCACACAACCUCUUCUAUAUGCAAAGGACAAACUACAAAACACUCAUGUUGGGAACGGUUUAAAAUGUUUACCUUAUUAUUCGGAGGUAUCCAGACACUACUUACCAUGAGACGCACUUGCAACAACAAGAAGAGUGAAGAAGCUCCCUCAGCCUCACCUACUCAAUCACGAGACAUAAAGAGCAAAAUGCUUUUGAAGACGCAAAUUGGAUAGAAUUCUAAAGCGCUUUCCUUGAUCUUUUAUCUCACAGCUGUAGAAGUAAAUGCACUUUCUUC
rnacentral:lncRNA from 1 species